rnacentral:misc_RNA from 1 species
UGGUGAUGUGUUUCCCUUGUUUGUGUGUGAGUGUGAUGUCUCCGCCAUUGAAAUUCAUUUUAGCCGAGAAUUGAAAUAGGUUGUACCUUUUACAAAUCGGCAAAUAUCUUCAUAAUCUUUCUUCCUUUGCCUGUUCUAUUUAGCUAUAUUCCGUGCACCACAAUUAUAUCCGAUGGCAGACAGAGACACAGAUGAGUUAAACAUCGAUAACGUAAUAAAAAAAUUAUUAAAAGUUCGGGGCGAAAAGCCUGGAAUGAAUGUACAGUUAACGGAAAUAGAGAUCAAAGGGCUAUGCUUGAAAUCGCGGGAAAUAUUCUUGUCACAACCGAUAUUACUUGAAUUGGAAGCGCCGCUAAAAAUUUGUGGCGACAUUCACGGCCAAUACUACGACUUACUAAGGUUGUUCGAAUACGGAGGCUUCCCACCAGAGUCGAACUACCUAUUUCUCGGAGACUACGUGGACCGCGGCAAGCAGUCGUUGGAGACGAUAUGUUUGCUCCUCGCCUACAAGAUCAAGUACCCAGAGAACUUCUUCCUUUUACGUGGCAACCAUGAGUGUGCUAGCAUUAAUAGGAUUUAUGGAUUCUACGACGAAUGCAAAAGGAGGUAUAACAUCAAGUUAUGGAAAACAUUCACAGACUGCUUCAACUGCUUACCGGUUGCUGCGAUAGUUGACGAGAAGAUAUUCUGCUGCCAUGGCGGUCUAUCCCCCGAUCUGCAGGCGAUGGAACAGAUCCGGCGGAUCAUGAGGCCCACUGACGUGCCCGACCAGGGCUUGCUCUGUGACCUGCUGUGGUCAGACCCUGACAAGGACACUGCCGGCUGGGGCGAGAACGAUCGUGGUGUCAGCUUUACAUUCGGAACUGAGGUGGUAGGCAAGUUCCUGUCGAAGCACGAGUUCGACCUGAUCUGCCGCGCGCACCAGGUCGUGGAAGACGGCUACGAGUUCUUCGCCAAGAGGCAGCUGGUCACGCUGUUCUCGGCGCCUAAUUACUGCGGCGAGUUUGAUAACGCAGGAGCCCUCAUGUCAGUGGACGAGACGCUAAUGUGCUCGUUCCAAAUCCUAAAGCCGGCCGACAAACGCAAGUUGUACUCGGGCCUCAACAUGGGCCGGCCCAACACGCCGCCCCGCGCCCAGCCCAAGAACAAAAAGAAGUGAGUCCACACACACACACUGAACUGUUGCACUAACAUUGUACACGCACACUGUAGCAAGAAUCACGUGAUCAUUAACCAAUCAGCGAUCAGAUUUAUCACGCGACUAUUCUGCUCCUCCAACCAGUGUUCUCUUUUCGGUUCUUGAACACGGUAUUCUUACUGCUCUGUGUGAACGAUGGAAAUUAUAGGGAAUAUGAUGGGUGUGAGUUUGGUAAUAGGGCAUGGUAAUGGAUACGGUUGUUUCGCGGUAGCUCGUAAUUGGCAAACGAUGCUGCGAAGACUAUCUAUAUGUACUAUUUUCUUAUUUGUUGGCUUUUAUGUUUCUUUCAAUUGUUUUUGUUCGGUUUUCUAGCCUCUUGAUACGUUAUUCAUAGUUAUAUCGGAUCGUGUUAUCGAUUCGUACGGUCGUCUGCCAACUAGGACAGCACCCUUUUAAUCUUGAGGUGGUGAAUCAAUUUCUACUCGUCAAACAUACAAUAGUAAUGAGUAUUGCGUAUUUAGAACUUUCUAUUAAUUCAGUUAUCCACGCAAUGAGCAACUGGUAUUGCCAAAUUGACUGGUUCACGCUCAGUGUUGCCAGAGUUCAAAAAUAAAAUAAAUCUUUAUCAUUGCUAUAUUGCCAGACUAUGCCGAAUUUAGUAAUAUUGAGAAUGAAUUGAAUUGGUUAUAAUAAUGUGAAAUUGUAUGCGAAUAAUAGUUAUUAAGUCAUGUAAUGCUAACAGUUGGGGCUUUAAAAAUGUAAGUGUACUAUUUAAGUGACAUGUAAAAAAUAAAGCAUUCCCCAUUUAUUUCGGUAGUUUGAAUUUCUUUAAUUACCUUAGGAUUAGGAGUUUACACAAACCUAGACACAGUAUUUUGAAUUAAAUAGUAAUUUUGCGGGACUUGUCAUCUGGCAAUACAGUCUCAGACACGCACACAUACACACACACACAUAGUAAAUAAAUAGAGCACAAAUAUAAUAUGGCUUACACCUAAUAGAGGCUUAUAGGCUCUUCUACUUCUAAUUAUACUUGUCUUGCAAAAGUUGCACGCUGGUCACAAUAUUGGGGCUUUAAAGUCAUUACAAGGUACUUUUAUUUCUCCACUGUAAACAUCAGAUUAGUUUUGCAUUUACGACGGAGAAAGUAAAAACGAUACAAUUUUAUUAAGACCGAUGAUAUCAGAAUUUUACAGGCUCAUUUUUAAAUUAGCAAUGUUCUGAAGUGUUCUAAUAACAAAUACACAUUUUUUAGUAUGAUUUAAAUACUAAAAUAAACUUUUUUAUAACUACAGAGAUAUUAUAUGAAGCCGCCACACGCAAAGUUAAUCGCCCCUCCCCGCGCCCGCGACGCUCCGCCGCCGCCUCGCAUGGACCCACCUACAUAAUGACUACCUACCGACACAUUGCAUAUUACUUAGACAGCGAUAAGGGACUUUGUAUACCUGUGUGCUAGUCGAUGUUUCCAUUGCGCGUUUGAGACCUUAUUCAUGAACAUUAUCCUAAGUAAUUCUCAUAGUGUGUUUUGUGAAUGGCUCCUUUUAAAUUACAAGUCUCCUUCGCUAUGAGAAUUCACAACGUUGGAUCUAUGAUUAGUUGAGCUAAGGGAAUUCAAGUAUUUGGUGAAGACCUAGGAGAAAGAUAUCUAUACUUAUAAUGAAUCUGUAAUGUUAAUUAACGCGCAAUGGAAAAGUAUCAAGAUAUGUAUUCCAUACAUUGUACUUGAUUUUGUAGUUGACUGACUCGAUACUUUUGCAAAAGUAUUCUUUAGAAAGGCAGUUGAAAUAACCACUUUGUAAUGCAUUUAGAAAGUUCAUUCUUCUUUGUUUACUAUCAACGAGAAGGUCAGUUAACUACAAAAUUAAAUAAAUAGACCACUAGCAUCAUAUAUUUACAGUAAUCGAUGUUUCAAAAAGUAUGCGAUAAUCGUAUAUUUUUUCAAAAGUAUGACACAUUGUCUACUGAAAAUAGUACUUUUACCGUUUGUAUAAAAAUAAUAAUUAAUCUAAUUCGUAAAGCUUAUUGAAUAAAAUCUUAAAAAAGUAGUGUGAAGUGUCUAUGUGUGUAGUAUUUACAUUUAAUAGAAAAAAUGUCCCUUUCGCUGGUCUAGAUCAAAUAAACUACAUUUUGUACAAUAAAAACCGGUUUCAUUACUUCCCGAUAAAGUUUAACUAUCAGAUUAAUUCAUAAUUGUAACUUUGCGUUGUAAUUCUCAUGAAAUUAUCUGCCAUGGUUAAUCGUUACUUAUCUCAAAGUGGUGAAACUGGCUAGAGAGAAAUUGUAUCAUCAUGAAAAGCCUUGAAACUCAACUAAUGUAAAAAUGUUUUAAAGAGAGCAAAGUGAGAUUGAAUUGAGUUUACUUUGUUAAAAAGUAAGGUAAUUGAAGUAAGUAACAUCUGGUUUUAAAUUAAUUGACGGUAUGGAAGUUAUCUUCCUAUUUUAAUAAAAGGUCUUAAAUCUGUCUUUGUUUUCUAUAAUAUUCUCAAUAAUAAAUAGUACUUACAUAAGUCUAUAUAACGCACCUUAGAAAAAACAUGAUUCGAGUGCGUUUUGAACUUUCCAAGUUUGCCGUACCUUAUUUGUGAUCAAAAUGUCCUAAAUAUCAAAUAAACUUUGCCUAACUUAAAACGUCACUUUUUUGCAUAUGGCAAUACCAAACUAAGUUACGUAUGACAGAAUGUAGUGUUGCAAGUGUAGUAAACACAUUGUUAUUUUUCUACCAUCGCAAUUCAAUGAGUAUUCAGAAGAGUAGCGAAACUGCGUAUGGCUUGUAAUAUGUUUUUUUAUUCAAUAUGGCGGUCUAUUCGGCUCUGUGGCUCUCUGUGGGCGUUUUACUUGUGGACGGAUGCUCCUGUAUGCCGCGUAAUGAUAAAUGUAUGUGCAAAUGCGUGUACGUAUGACUGGCUCCCAGUAUGCUUGUGUCCUAUUCAAUAUUCAACAAUUAAUGUAAGGUUAUGCUCGCGACUGCAACUUCGGCAACACACCUGCGACUUUUUUAUCGCAAACCCCCAUUUUUUUAUUAUUGAGAUUAUUUCAUUGACCGCAGGACGCGUUUCUUAUGUCGAAGUUGUUAUCGCUUAUGUCGCAGUAAAUUCUAUGAUGACAGAAUUCAAUGAUGGAAAUAUUUGAAGUAAAAUAAGUAGUAAGCAUCUAAGCAUAAAUAUCGUAACGAAGCCGUAGUUUGUUGAUAAAUAUAAUGAACAAAAUUGCGCCCACAGUAUUCGAACCUAUUUGGUGUAAAGUAACUAAGAAUGUACUAUCCAUAUACGUACAUUCUCAGGACAUAAUUUUUACUAUAAGGAAUGUCCUAGAUUUUAAAUAUAAUUAACUAAGUUUCAUGUGACUUAAGUAAAUAACUCGUAGAAAAUAUUUUAUCCCAGUAUACGUGAUACAACUAGCGUGCAUUUACAAUAUUUUAAUUAGCAAAACAUUGCUUAAUUAUUAACACCUGAUAAUAAUAACAAUUGGUAGUUUUCAUAUCGUCCUGUAGUAGGUUGGGGUUGCCUCAGUAAAAAAUCCUGAGGAAUUAGUAACUUAAUAAUUUUCCCGUUAGUUUUGAAUGAGCCAAGUGGUCAAUACGUGGGCGUAUUUAGAAUUAAUGGUAACACCGUCCCUUCAGGUCGGUCGAUAGGACUUCGCGUAGCAUUGCUUUGUCGCCUUACUUCUUAUGCGAUCGUAGUUCGCACUGCUUUGCGAAACUGGCGCUUACCUAAUGUUAAGAUGUCACCCGAUGAAUUUAACCGUUAAUAGAACUUUUCAAAUUAUGACAACUUUCAUAAUAUCAAGAUUUCAACUUGAAUUGUACCUCGAGAAAGCGAUAUUAUGUUCUUACACAUAUUCAAAUAUUAACGGUCAAUUUUGUCAGUGUUGCCAAUCUCCACCGAUAGUUACCAUUCGGAAGAAAAUAAAGGUCGCAUAAGAGUAACGGUUAGCGAUAACUGAAGGUUUUCUUUUAUUUAAUUGCUAUUGAAUGUGUUAGACUGAUACCCGCGGCUGACUGCCGAUCAAAUUGAAUCAUUGAUCUAUGUAUGAAAAGAAUUGUAUAUUAAUUUCUUAAAUAAAAUACUUCUGAAAA